rnacentral:lncRNA from 1 species
GAAGGGAUGCGAAAGCCAGGCUACAGCCCAGGCCAUCUCACUGUCAGGCAACUAGAGACUGUUUUUUGACACCUGCAAUUUUGCCAAACUGUGGCCAAAAUCAGAUUGUGCAACAUGUAUGUCAAAGAGCAAAGGCUGAGCAAACCUUCAUAGGAACUGUAACAUGCCCAAAUACUGUGUGGAGUCCGUGGUCUCCUGUGGUAUGCUUUGGCAGUGCACACAAAAGUGCUUACUGCUGCUCCAUGCUACCUUCCAAAACACUUUGACACAAGAGGGAAAACGGCUUCCCAUUGCGCUGGACCAGGAAGCUGUGUGAAAGAGGCAUGCAUUGAAAUAGCACAAGGUGAUGUAAUAAACAGACCAAAUAUCAUGUCA